CACUCUUACGUUAGCCCAAUCAAAUACCAGCCCAACCCAGAGUACUUUAGCCCAAAUCCUCGCUGACCGGAUCCCCAGUAUUCCCUCAUCCUCCCGAAGCACCAUCUCCUCCUCCUCUCCUCUUCGCCGACUCUCCUCGUCCAGGUGCUUAUCUCUGCGCAAUUAUGCGUUCGACAUGCUCUUAAUACGGAGCGAGACGAUCAGAACUAUGAUGGAAAAUUCGUUCUUCAGCUCUCCUAUCCUGCGUGUCCCCUUCAAGUUCAAGAUAUUCUCUUCGUUUCCGUCUCUCACUUCGCACGCUGAAAUGGAGACCCAAUUGAGAACUAUCAGUGAGAAACAGAAACCCCAAUUCUCCGACGCGGUUUGUCUGUUUCACAGGGCGGUGGACUCGAGCCUCUUACCUUCAGGUUCAUAUUGCAAUUCUAGUGUCACCAUGGGAUGAGGUCCUUACAGGUUACCAAGUUGCUCCAGACUCAGGGUUUCAGGAAAGUUUUUAAUGUUGCUGGAGGAAUACAUGCAUACGUUGCCUACCAAGAUUGAUCAAUCAAUCCCAACUUACUGAAAAGAUAGUCUAAUUAUCUAUCAUUGAAGUCAGAUCCCUAGUCUUCUGUAUUGAAACAAGAUAUGUUGUGUGCCUUGCCAGGGGAGUUUUUGGUGUGACGCAUGUCCCCAGAUGUAGUCUUUUUAUUGGCCUUCUCCAGAUUUGGUCAGGUCCCAUGAUAGUUAAAUUUGCAAGGAAGAAAGUUGAGCAAUGUUAAAUUCACAAGGAAGCGAGAAAAGAAGCGCCUGAGGAAUGGAAAAGCUCAAUACAUGUAUGUGCACACGUGUUAGUUGGGCCAGUGACGUUUUCUCCUAUGUGGAAAGUGUGUGAGAAAUUAUUCAAUGGUCCUAGCACACCAUGUCAUAUGCUGAGGUAAUGCAUCACAACCAAUGGGACGGUGCCAAUUCACGAGCGAUAUGGUUGAGAAUGGAGAUUGGUAAUUUACUAAUAUGCAAUUCAAAUUUAAAAAAAAAUACACAAACGGCCUGUGAAUUGACAUCGUCCCAUUGGUUGUUUUGCACCACAUUAGCAUAUGAUAUGUAUGCCCGGAUCAUUUAAUAAUUUCUCAAAGUGUGGACGAGAACAAUGUAAAAGCUCAAAGGGAUACAAAAAUCGGUCUGCACCAAACCUGAUUGCAAUUUACAUUGCUCUAAGAGGGGGCCAAGUACCAACUAGUCAUCAAUCAUCACAAUUUUAAUUAUGUUACAUAUAGCAAGCAAUAAACACUUAAAUUCGGUUUACCCUUGCUAACUUGUUGAGUGUAUUGAGUUUCCGUUGUUGAGUAA